rnacentral:tRNA from 1 species
GCCGAGGUGGCGGAUCUGGCAGACGCGCUGGACUCAAAAUCCAGUGGCCGCAAGGCCAUGCGGGUUCGACCCCCGCCCUCGGCA